rnacentral:rRNA from 1 species
GAUGAACGCUAGCGGGAGGCCUAACACAUGCAAGCCGAGCGGUAUUGUUUCUUCGGAAAUGAGAGAGCGGCGUACGGGUGCGUAACACGUGUGCAACCUGCCUUUAUCUGGGGGAUAGCCUUUCGAAAGGAAGAUUAAUACUCCAUAAUAUAUUGAACGGCAUCGUUUAAUAUUGAAAGCUCCGGCGGUUAGAGAUGGGCACGCGCAAGAUUAGCUAGUUGGUGAGGUAACGGCUCACCAAGGCGAUGAUCUUUAGGGGGCCUGAGAGGGUGAUCCCCCACACUGGUACUGAGACACGGACCAGACUGCUACGGGAGGCAGCAGUGAGGAAUAUUGGUCAAUGGGUGCAAGCCUGAACCAGCCAUCCCGCGUGAAGGACGACUGCCCUAUGGGUUGUAAACUUCUUUUGUAUAGGGAUAAACCUACCCUCGAGAGGGUAGCUGAAGGUACUAAACGAAUAAGCACCGGCUAACUCCGUG